AGUGAACGCUGGCGGCGUGCUUAAUACAUGCCAGUCGAACGAUGAAGUCCUAGCUUGCUAGGAUGGAUUAGUGGCGCACGGGUGAGUAAUAUAUAGUUAAUCUGCCUUGCACUGAGGAACAACAGUUGGAAACGAUUGCUAAUACCUCAUACUCCAACUUUACAUAAGUUAAGUUGGGAAAGUCUUUUCGGUGCAAGAUGAGGCUAUAUCGUAUCAGCUAGUUGGUAAGGUAAUGGCUUACCAAGGCUAUGACGCGUAACUGGUCUGAGAGGAUGAUCAGUCACAUUGGAACUGAGACACGGUCCAAACUCCUACGGGAGGCAGCAGUAAGGAAUAUUGUGCAAUGGGGGAAACCCUGACGCAGCAACGCCGCGUGGAGGAUGACACUUUUCGGAGCGUAAACUCCUUUUGUUAGGGAAGAAUAAUGACGGUACCUAACGAAUAAGCACCGGCUAACUCCGUG
rnacentral:rRNA from 1 species